rnacentral:lncRNA from 1 species
AAUGAAUUGGCAAACACCCAUGGAGCAGAGCAAACUGAGGAAGGUAAGCUGGGAACUAAACUUUUGUUAACAAAUUUGGCCCUUGGUCUUUGAUGCUUGUUCAUUUUUUCUCAGAGUUAAAAAUGAUAUAUAUUUUUUCCUGAAUGUGUUCAUUUGACUCAAAAUAAUGCUUAUGCUCCUGCUGCAAUCUGGUGUGGUGAUUUGUUGGUGAGAGCUAAUCAUAUCUGAUUAAUGAUCAUGUUCUUCCUGAUUAUUGAUGUUGGCGAUUUCCUUCCUCCUAUUAUUGGAUCACCUAUGAGUUCGUUAGAUAUAUUAAUAAAGUUGGGUGGAUUUAUUUUAUAUACCCUUAUUAUUGCAAGUUGAAAGGUUCUACAAGUUGAGCAGUCUAGCUCCAGAAGUCAAAAAAGGGAAACUCAGCAAAACCUUCCUUUCUUCCCAAAAUACAUCUUUUUAGUCCUGGAAAAAAUUUUCUUGUGCAUAAUAAUGGAAUUUUAUUAUAUUUGUUUGCAAUCCUUAAGCACAGACAAAUGCAUCACAGAUUCUGAUUUAUCUACUAAUUAACCUGA